rnacentral:lncRNA from 1 species
CUGGAGACUUGAGAACAAACGCCGCUUGAACAAUGUGGGCACCAAGCCCAAAACUGCCAAGUUGCCUUUGGGAAUGCAGACACUUAACUGUGUUCCUGGAUGGAUAACAAAACAGACUGCUUUCCUCUUCUCCUACCUCCCCUGUAAUAAAUAGUCAAAGAUGCAUCAUGUGAAAAUACUGCGUCUGGGCUUUGAGACCAUAUGCUGACACUGAGAAUCUGAAAUGGGCUGACUCAUGGGUCUUGUGAAUUUUUUCUUCAUUGUCCUGAUUAAUAAGAGUAGCCAUUUUGACUAGAAACAAAGUUGGAUAAGGGAUGAGGUCAUGGCACCUUGAACCUGAAAACCAAAAUGGAAAUCCUGGCUGUCUGUUAAUGGCUGUGAAAUCUUGGGUAGGGGGCUCUAAUUUUCUGUGCCCCCCAGAAUAUCAAAGAAAAACAGUUGGCGAGGCCUUCAGCACAUGUGCAGCAAAUAUCCACAGAUUUGUCAACUGCUUUCUUGGGGAUGGCCAACCACAGCAUUUCUAAACUCGCCCAAUACGCGUUGCGAGGGUCCUCCGAACAGCUGGCUGGAGAGUUUAGAACGCGGUACUGGACAUUCGCUUUCGCUUGUUUUUUCAACCAAGAGAAGCAGGCCUGUCUCAGGAAAUUUGAGGCUGGGCCUUUGCCUGACUCUGUUGCUGCUGCCGCCUUUGCUACCGCUGACACUUGGAACCGCCGCCUCCGCGCAGCGGCCAGACGCGGGGCCCGGAGCGGUCUACGCAGUCGGAGGAGGGCACCGACAUUGUCUUUCUCUCCACCGUGCGGCACCGGACCGCCACCCACGCAGGGGAGUCUGGGCCUGCGCCCCCCGCCCGCGCCCGCCGCAGAUGCAGGGAAAACCGCCUGACAUCAUGAGAGCGGGACAAACGCUCACUUUGAAGGAUUCCUGGGCAGGACUUCAAGUGAAAUCAUAUGCCUGAGAAGAACUUGAUACCGGUCUAGAGAAAAUAACCAGUUCUGAGUUUGCCAAACCGUGGAAUGUGCAAAAUGCUCGACUUUUUUGCAAGAGGCCAAGUGUCCCUUAAAAAGCUCCAUUAUGAAUAUGAGCCUGAAGACUGCAGGAGCAAGAAGCUUGUGCCGUUGUUGAGUGUGGGAAAAAAGUACACACAGUAUGUGAGUUGUUGCUAUUUAACAUUAUUUUAUUAAUAAUUUGUACCACUUUAGAGAGGAUACCUGCAACUGUGUAUGAAUUUAUCAUCUGUGCAUGUGCUUAGCAAGUGUGUGCACAAAGAAGGAAAAUAAAUGUGUGUGUAUAAGAAAAUUUACUUUCUUA